CCUACGGGUGGCAGCAGUGGGGAAUAUUGGACAAUGGGGGGAACCCUGAUCCAGCCAUGCCGCGUGUGUGAAGAAGGCCCUUGGGUUGUAAAGCACUUUCAGUGAGGAAGAACGCCUGGUGGUUAAUACCCAUCAGGAAAGACAUCACUCACAGAAGAAGCACCGGCUAACUCCGUGCCAGCAGCCGCGGUAAUACGGAGGGUGCGAGCGUUAAUCGGAAUUACUGGGCGUAAAGCGCGCGUAGGUGGCUUGAUAAGCCGGUUGUGAAAGCCCCGGGCUCAACCUGGGAACGGCAUCCGGAACUGUCAAGCUAGAGUGCAGGAGAGGAAGGUAGAAUUCCCGGUGUAGCGGUGAAAUGCGUAGAGAUCGGGAGGAAUACCAGUGGCGAAGGCGGCCUUCUGGACUGACACUGACACUGAGGUGCGAAAGCGUGGGUAGCAAACAGGAUUAGAUACCCUUGUAGUC
rnacentral:rRNA from 1 species